GCCUGGGUGGCUCAGUUGGUUAAGCGUCAAACUCUUGAUUUGGGCUCAGGUCAUGAUCUCUCGGUCAUGGGAUCGAGCCCCAUCUCGGACU
rnacentral:tRNA from 1 species